GCGCCCAUUGAAAUUUUUGGCUCUCACUCACUUAAUACCAAAAAAUAAAAACACACACAAAAAAAGUGAAAAAACACAUUUCAGUGAGAAAUCCCUAAAUCCCAAAACACUCUCUUCAUCGUUCCCGCCGCCACCACACUCACACUCCGGUGCAACUUUCUUCAUCGUUCCCUUCAAGAGAAGUGAAUGGGUUCAUCGUUCUCUCCAAUCGUUCUCUUAAGGUAUCAAAACUCACUCUCUCCAAUCUCUUUAGUGUUCCCGUCGAGAGAAGUAAGAUCUGUCGUUCUUCCAAAACUCGACUGCUCUGUCUAUCUAACAUCCACCUCCAUAACCAAGAAUCAAGUCUCAAAUUUUAGUUUCAUUCCUCUUUUCUCUAUUUGGCAAAGAAUCUCCACAAACCUAAACCCCAAUUUCGAAAUUUUCCCAAUUCCUCCAUUAUUAGUUCAUGCAUGUACGAAUUAAGGCUUCAAACUCUCAUUUCAUUCCAAAAGGAAAGUCAAGAAUCCUUUUUCACGGCUUGUAUUCAUGAGUUUUACUAUGGGUUGGAGCAUUUCAAGUAUUGGAGGUAAUCUAGGAUUUUCCCGACGGGUUUUACUCGCUCAAGCCGCACAAACGGGUAACUGAAGCUUGAAGUUUCGUUUUCCUUUUAAGUUCCAGAAGUUCCCUUGACACAUGAGGUUGGAAGUUUGGAUUGAAAAGAAUUAUAAGACGAGAUUCAAUUGGAGCACUAGAAUAGAUUGGAGAACAAGUUUUUGAUGUAGACUAUGUUGUGGUUGUAAUAAUCAAGUGUUGAGAGAGCUACAAUUACAGAGGUGAGUUCCAUAGAUAGAAAUCCUUACCAAUAUUAGUCUCCCCACUAUUCUCAUGGAGAAUUGGGUUUACGGGUAGUUAGAAUUAGAAUCUAUUUCAUGAGAAAUUGCACUUUGAUGAGAUUGCCCCUUUAGAUUAGUUCUCUCAAAUUGUAUAGAUUUAAUGCAUGUUGUUUAUGAAUCUUGGUGACUUCCCUUGUCCUUGUUGUGCUACUAACUGUUGGCCUAAAUUGUCACUAAAAUGCAUCUAGAGUAAGGCUAGGACUGUGUGAGGAUAAUGGUACAAACUGAAUUUUUUUGUAGGAAACUGGUCACCUGGGCAUUCUGCCCUCUGCGUCUGGGGUGUGGACCACUGCGCUGGAAGCGCAAAUAACAGUGUUUCCCAGACUGUUCCUGCGCCUGGAGUUACAUCCAGCAGCCCCGUUUGCAUUGUUUUGCAUUUCCGGACGCUUUUGGGACACCGUAAUGUCCCUAAUGGAAUAAGAUCAUAUAGGAAUGAAAAAUAUAGUAGUUAGCUUAAUAAAUUGCAUAGGUUGGGUAGGGAAAACAAACUGAAUACUAUGGACUAGAUGUAUUAUAAGUUAAUUCAGGACAGGUAAGAAUAUUGACAGUUGAUCUUGAAAUGUAGUGGACUUUGGGCCACAAGUGUUAGAUUUCUAAUGCUAAAUGUCUAUGAUGAAUAAUAUGUUAAGUUGUGGUCUAUAAGGCACCAGAAAGGCUUCCUUAUGUAGGAGUUGGAGCUGGAUUGAAAUUCUAUAUAGAAUUUCACACAACGAUAAGAUGAGGUAUGACAGGGAAUUUAGCCGGGUAUGUAAGGGAAUGGUUCGAGACUACUCACCUCGAAUUAUUCCGUAAAAUCAACUCAGACAAAUAAUUGUGUCACACUUUAUUUGCAUUAUACCGAAAAUAAUCGUGAAAUGAAUAUGUAUAUGUUUAUGUAAUUGAUCAACUGUCAGGACAAAGGAUAUUAGUACCACCCUAAGAUAGGUGGGAUUCACUGAGGCUUUAUGUCUCAUCCCACUCCUUUUUAUUUUUUUCAGAUAAGCAGAUUAAACGAGUCAGGGGUAAGAAGAAACUAAGGAUUGAAGAUGGAAGAUUUUAUUACAUUAGUUUCUUCCUUGCUUUGUUAGAUUAGUCUGAUAGAUAUGUCUGAUGAUUAUUUACCAUUGUGUAAUGGAACUUUCAUUUCCUUGUACCUGAUAUAGAAUUUAGGUACUUGUUUCUUUUGAACAAGCUAUUCUAUAAAUUUUAAUGUAUCUGAACCUCAAUUAUGUAUAUCUUGGUCAAUAUUCUAGACAUUUGACAUUUGGAUGUUACAAGGAGGUCAUUGAACUUAUGUAGUUUUACUGUGCUUAUGUUAUUGAAAAUCAUAAUCCGUUUCCAUGUUGAUAUUUGAAGGUAGGGAAUCCUCUUAUGGAGUUAAAUAUGUUCUCAAUUCAAGAGCAGAGUUCUUAUGGUUCCAUGGACUGAUUUCAAAUUCUGCUUUCAAAUGUUAAGGAUGAGAAGCCAACCAACUGGUAGUUUGCAGAAUCUGUUCAGAUGAAGGGGAAACCAAUCACACAUAACACAAAUUGCUAUGGUUAGAUAAAAUUUGUAAAUUUCCAUCUCCUUUUAACACUUACAUUAAAUAAUGCUCUAUUACUUCCAUCUCCUUUUAAUAUUUCUCUAAUAGUAGUGAUAAUAGUAUAUCCUCUUAUGGUAUGAUUCUAGCUCUUUGUAUAUUAUGAUUGACCUUUUCAUCUCUUUCUUAUUAAUUUCACUUAAUUGUUUCUUUACUACACUAUUGUGAUUUAUUUUCUGUUAUAGUAUGUUAUUGCUGCUGCUGCAUAAGUUUAUGGUUUGUGUGCUUCUCACUAUGUUUUUGGUUGUUUCGCAGUUCUGUUUCUAAAGUCUGAAUGCGAACCCUCUGCGAGACCACCGUGAGACCAUGCAUAAGUUGUUUGCUACCACACCAUCACUAUUUUCAAUCAAUGGCUCUAGUUGUAGUGGGAGAUGUGAUUCCAGACGGAACUUAAUUUUGUUGCCCUUAUUUGUUGUCAUUUGUGUGUGUGCGCUAUAGGUCCGGGGUUUUAAUGAUUGAGUCCAUUCGUUUUUUUUAACUAUACUAAUGUUUAUGUUUUAGUUUUUCAAUGUUUGAACUACAUUGAUUUUUUUUCCGUUUGGAACUUCAAGAUUAUGGAUGUUGUCACUACUUAAUGAAUUAUGGAUGUUAAGUCACUAAAUGAAUUAUAUAAAUGAGAUUAAGUUAUUUAUAUUUA